UCCCUGGUGGCUCAGAUGGUAAAGCAUCUGCUUGCAGUGCAGCAGACCUGGGUUCGAUCCCUGGGUUGGGAA
rnacentral:tRNA from 1 species